rnacentral:rRNA from 1 species
AACGAACGCUGGCGGCAUGCCUAACACAUGCAAGUCGAACGAGACCUUCGGGUCUAGUGGCGCACGGGUGCGUAGCGCGUGGGAACCUGCCCUUAGGUUCGGAAUAACUCCCCGAAAGGGGUGCUAAUACCGGAUAAUGUCUUCGGACCAAAGAUUUAUCGCCUUUGGAUGGGCCCGCGUUGGAUUAGCUAGUUGGUAGGGUAAAAGUCUACCAAGGCGACGAUCCAUAGCUGGUCUGAGAGGAUGAUCAGCCACACUGGGACUGAGACACGGCCCAGACUCCUACGGGAGGCAGCAGUGGGGAAUAUUGGACAAUGGGCGAAAGCCUGAUCCAGCAAUGCCGCGUGAGUGAUGAAGGCCUUAGGGUUGUAAAGCUCUUUUACCCGGGAUGAUAAUGACAGUACCGGGAGAAUAAGCUCCGGCUAACUCCGUG